CAGCAGCCGCGGGAAUACGAAGGGGGCUAGCGUUGCUCGGAAUGACUGGGCGUAAAGGGCGCGUAGGCGGCGAUCAAAGUCAGGCGUGAAAUUCCUGGGCUCAACCUGGGGGCUGCGUUUGAUACUUGAUUGCUAGAGUGGGGAAGAGGGUCGUGGAAUUCCCAGUGUAGAGGUGAAAUACGUAGAUAUCGGAAGGAACACCUGUGGCGAAAGCGGCUCACUGGACCAUUUCUGACGCUGAUGCACGAAAGCUAGGGGAGCAAACAGGGUUAGAUACCCGUGUAGUCCCUGUCUCUUAUAC
rnacentral:rRNA from 1 species